rnacentral:rRNA from 1 species
UAGCGUAGGGGGCUAGCGUUGUCCGGAACCAUUGGGCGUAAAGAGCGCGUAGGCGGCCAGAUAAGUCCGGUGUGAAAGUCGAAAGGCUCAACCUUUGAAUGCCGCUGGAAACUGUCUGGCUAGAGUCCGGGAGGGGCGAGUGGAAGUUCCUGGUGUAGCGGUGAAAUGACGCAGAUAUCAGGAGGAACACCAAUAGCGAAGGCAGCUCGCUCGGGACGG